UUGAAGAAAAUUCUCUUGACUAUUUGAACGGACUAUGGAAAGAUGCAGGUAUCUCUCAUUGGUCCAGUGGAUGACAGAUUGAUCGAAAGACAAUGUCUAACCUAUGAAUUUACUUUUUCGUACGUACCUGCGUUACGACUUGUGAUAGGUUGGGUUAGGUUGCGUAGUCGAUUCCAUCACAGGCGACACUCGUUUGCAUAUCGAGGAUCCGAUUAAAAUAAAUUAGCCAAAGUGUCUCCGGCUAUUCCAUCCAGUCACUCCCGCAAAAUGCCUUUGUUAGACUCCCCCUCGUGAAAACAACUUUACUCUAAAAACGUCACGAACCUCCCUUUUACUCGUGACGGAGACGGAGGACGAAAGGCGGAGAAAUGGCGGAAAGUUGAGAAGAGACGGUGAAGAAAAUGUACGAGGAAGGUGCGAGAGAGACCGAGAGAGAAAUUCUUUGAGUGUUUCGCGCUAACCUAUUGUCGGAUGUAAAGGAGAGUGAAGUCUCGUUUCACGGAGUAAAAAAAGUUCAUGAAAACAAAUGAAGUCGAUGUCUUUGUACCUUGACGAAAUGUAACUUCUUAAUUAAACUUUUUUCGAAUUUAUUUUUUCUUUCUAUCCCCUUGAAUUGCGAAUAUUUCUUAUCCGCUAUGUGAGAAUUUUCUUUUGCGACUAAAUUCAAAUUUUGUCGAUCAUCCAAACACGUUUAUAAUCCAAAAUACGCUUUUUCAAAUUUCGUUAAGGUUCUUAAAAUUAAUCUAAAUAAUUCUUUAUCUCGUUACCUAACCUCUGUAAGAAUUUCAUGAUCGCGCAGCAGAAUGCAAGUGGUCCAUCUUCUGGAUGAUUUAUCUAGACGUGAAAUUAACAUUUUUCUUUACGUAAAACGCUUAACGAGAAAGUAAAAAGGGUGCGCUUUUCAUUAAACGCCAAGGAAAUUAAGUAAUGAAGGGUACAAGAGUGUAGGGUGAAACACGUUCGAUAGUACGACACGUACCAUGGUCUACCAUCAGGGGUAGGUUACCUCCACCCGAAAAUUGUCUGCCGUUCGUGGAGGAAAGUCUCACGACGAGUUCAGCGUCAAGGAUGGAGAUUGUCCAUACGUCGAUACUACCCGAGAGGGUUGGAACAUCCCCCUGUUCGAUAAAGCUGUCACUACACAAGGUUAUUCGAGCCCGAGUCUACAAGAUCUUGAGUAAAAUCUCUCCGCAGUCCAAAGGUAUCAUCCACUAUCGACACCACGUAGCAGGACUGAAACCCUUGAGAAAAAAUCCUAUCCAUGAUCCCCAAGGAAAAAGGUAUCCUCGUAACACAAUCAUUGCUGCCAACCUCCUAAAACAUAUUUGAAAGCCCACUCCGUAUCUCUCAUCAGAUGCCACCCUUUGCAAUUGGGACAAGAAUUCCCUAUAAAAAGAAAAUUUCAAAGACCCAGUAACAAGCAGACUGUCAAUCAAAUAAAUUUAAGAGACAGGGAAAGUGUAAAGUGAAAAAGAGGAUGACUUAUUAUUAAAUAAAUAAAAAAGGUAAAAAUCACUCGUAAU